rnacentral:rRNA from 1 species
AUUGAACGCUGGCGGAAUGCUUUACACAUGCAAGUCGAACGGUAGAGGGGGCAACCCCUCGAGAGUGGCGAACGGGUGAGUAAUAUAUCGGAACGUGCCCAGUCGUGGGGGAUAACGUAGCGAAAGUUACGCUAAUACCGCACACGAUCUAAGGAUGAAAGCGGGGGAUCGCAAGACCUCGCGCGAUUGGAGCGGCCGAUAUCAGAUUAGGUAGUUGGUGGGGUAAAGGCUCACCAAGCCAACGAUCUGUAGCUGGUCUGAGAGGACGACCAGCCACACUGGAACUGAGACACGGUCCAGACUCCUACGGGAGGCAGCAGUGGGGAAUUCUGGACAAUGGACGCAAGUCUGAUCCAGCCAUUCCGCGUGCAGGAUGAAGGCCCUCGGGUUGUAAACUGCUUUUGUACGGAACGAAAAGGUCUCUCUUAAUACGGGGGGCUCAUGACGGUACCGUAAGAAUAAGCACCGGCUAACUGCGUGCCAGCCGCCGCCGUAA